rnacentral:rRNA from 1 species
CCUACGGGAGGCAGCAGUGGGGGAUAUUGCACAAUGGGGGAAACCCUGAUGCAGCGACGCCGCGUGGGUGAAGAAGCGCCUCGGCGCGUAAAGCCCUGUCAGCAGGGAAGAAAAUGACGGUACCUGAAGAAGAAGCCCCGGCUAACUACGUGCCAGCAGCCGCGGUAAUACGUAGGGGGCAAGCGUUAUCCGGAUUUCCUGGGUGUAAAGGGGGCGCAGACGGGGAUGCAAGCCAGGAGUGAAAGCCCGGGGCCCAACCCCGGGACUGCUCUUGGAACUGCGUGGCUAGAGUGCAGGAGGGGCAGACGGAAUUCCUGGUGUAGCGGUGAAAUGCGUAGAUAUCAGGAGGAACACCGGUGGCGAAGGCGGCCUGCUGGACUGCAACUGACGUUGAGGCCCGAAAGCGUGGGGAGCAAACAGGAUUAGAUACCCUUGUAGUC